AUCCAGCCGACGAGUUCUGAAUAGAACGAAGUGUGCAUCCUGGAU
rnacentral:hammerhead_ribozyme from 1 species